UACGUAGGGACCAAGCGUUGUUCGGAUUUACUGGGCGUAAAGGGCGCGUAGGCGGCGCGGUAAGUCACUUGUGAAAUCUCUGAGCUUAACUCAGAACGGCCAAGUGAUACUGCAGUGCUAGAGUGCAGAAAGGGCAAUCGGAAUUCUUGGUGUAGCGGUGAAAUGCGUAGAUAUCAAGAGGAACACCAGUGGCGAAGGCGAGUCCCUGGACGAUACCUGACACUGAGGCACGAAAGCCAAGGGAGCAAACAGG
rnacentral:rRNA from 1 species